GGUGGUCCCCUCUGUUGGCCUUGCCUCUCAUUGCAAUAAACUUUGCUGUGAUUGUCACUGGUGCCAUAGCAUUCUGUUUCAGGAGUCAUGUGGAUGCAACAAGUCAGCCUCCUGCUUUGCAAUUCUCCCCUCACUGCACCUUCAGAUCCUGUCUCUCUACAGCUGGCGCCAGAACAGGGACCUGAAGGUGGAUGUUUGCCACACUGCUGAAGAAGUGCCACGGGAACUGAAGGGAACUUUGGAGCCGGGAAGCUCAGCCUUCGGGAUUUCUGCAGGAUCAAGGCUACCAGUGGUUAUGCAGCCAGGGCUUGAAACCCAGGCAUGAGCGGAUCCAAGUGACCUCAGUUUACCAUGACUGCACUAGUCAAAGACUUUCACAGAAUGUUCAUCCAGAAACUGAUAAUUGUGCCCAAUGCACCACACCCUCUUCCGAGGCACAUGAAGACCAGUAACCUCCUCCUUGGGGACAAGUUAAGAGGUUGACACAUGAUGCUGAAAAAAUAUUGAUGCAGACUUGCAGCUCACAAACUCCUGCUCACCUUUUCCUUGCGAUGCUCGCGUUUAUAACUACUACAGUAAGCAGUGAUAACUAUACUUCCUAGGCUUAUAUCCCUCAUCCACCUCUCAGUCAGGAUAUGACUCAAUUGGUAUGACUCCCCCAUGCCAGUGUAUACAAAUGACACCGAAUGGACACCUGGGACAUUUGACAGCAGAAGACCACAUAGGCCAAAUGAAGAAGCUUAUAUUUACUUAGAGCACGCCCUGGCCUGUGGCUGCCGGUUCUCAUGUCUCGACCAUACAUUCUUCAGAAAUGUAUCUGAUGGACCAUGCUCUACGUCUGGUGCCAGAGAUGAGGAGCCUGUCAACGUAUCGACUGACAAUUCGGGUUAUGCAAUGUCCUCCUACAGUCCACCGAAUACAAACAGAAAGGGGGAGAUGCUGGAGAACAACAGACCGGAGGCACCUUAAGAAUAUCCUGAAGGAAAGGGACAGAGCAGCAAGAAACUGAAAGCCGUUUCGUUCCCAGGACAAAAGUCCGCUGGGACUGCUCCUUCUCUCCAGAAGGACAUCAUCCGGGUGCCACCCUGGGGAUAAGAAUGUUUUGUCUGGUGCCAGAUGAACUCAUGACCCAGUAUGGAAAAUACUGCAGGUACAUGACCUGUCAAGAUGCCAAAUAUUAUGUUGUAUGUGCUUGCUGUUGUCAACAAUUUGCAAAAAUCAAACAGGCUUGAGCCAGGGGACCGAGGCUUUGGCUCCUGGAGAGUCUUAGCCCCCUGCUUUGCAAUCCUCUCAUCACCACACCUCUAGGACCUGUCUCUCUACAUAUUCCAUACUCUCAUUUUCUUUGUGUUUAUUUAUUACCAAUAUAUGUGUGUGACAUUU